CCUACGGGAGGCAGCAGUGGGGAAUAUUGCACAAUGGGCGCAAGCCUGAUGCAGCCAUGCCGCGUGUGUGAAGAAGGCCUUCGGGUUGUAAAGCACUUUCAGCGGGGAGGAAGGCGAUAAGGUUAAUAACCUUGUCGAUUGACGUUACCCGCAGAAGAAGCACCGGCUAACUCCGUGCCAGCAGCCGCGGUAAUACGGAGGGUGCAAGCGUUAAUCGGAAUUACUGGGCGUAAAGCGCACACAGGCGGUCUGUCAAGUCGGAUGUGAAAUCCCCGGGCUCAACCUGGGAACUGCAUUCGAAACUGGCAGGCUAGAGGCUUGUAGAGGGGGGUAGAAUUCCAGGUGUAGCGGUGAAAUGCGUAGAGAUCUGGAGGAAUACCGGUGGCGAAGGCGGCCUGCUGGACUGCAACUGACGUUGAGGCCCGAAAGCGUGGGGAGCAAACAGGAUUAGAUACCCUUGUAGUC
rnacentral:rRNA from 1 species